GAUGAACGCUAGCUACAGGCUUAACACAUGCAAGUCGAGGGGCAUCAUUAUCGAAGCUUGCUUUGAUAGAUGGCGACCGGCGCACGGGUGAGUAACGCGUAUCCAACCUGCCCAUGGGUCAGGAAUAACCUUCCGAAAGGGAGCCUAAUACCUGAUGUUGUGAGAAGAAGGCCUCUGAUUUUCACGAAAGACUUCGGUCGCCGAUGGAUGGGGAUGCGUACGAUUAGGCAGCAGGCGGGGUAACGGCCCACCUGGCCUACGAUCGUUAGGGGUUCUGAGAGGAAGGUCCCCCACACUGGUACUGAGACACGGACCAGACUCC
rnacentral:rRNA from 1 species